UUNUAUUCCUCUCCUUUAGCUUCUUAAAUAUAUGGGAUUAGUUGUGUGCCAUGAUCCCAGCUAUUGUUAGUUUUUUCAGUAAUAUGCAUAGUUUUUUAUAUCAGCUACCCAAUUUACUUGCACACACCAAUGCAUAAGUGUUGAUUUUUCUCCACAUCCACAUCAGUGGUUGUCACAUUUCUAAUUUAUCCAUUUUGACUGGGAUGAGAUGAUACCUCACGUAUUUUUUUUUUCUUGUGGUGCUGGGACUGAAUUCAGGGCCUUGUGCAUGCAAGGUAAGCACUCUACCAACUGAGCUAUUUCCCCAGUCUUCCACAUUGUAUUUUUGAUUUGCUUUUUCCUGAAGGCUAAUUAUAUUGAACAUUUUUCUAUAUGUUUACUGGAACUUUUUGUUUCUUCUUUUGAAAACUGUCUACUUUAUUUGCCGACUUUUAAAUGGCAUUACUUAGUUUUUGAUUGUAUGUUUUGUUUUAUUAUUUUGUGUUCUUUAUGUAUUGUAAAUAUGAAGCUUGUAUCAAAUGCAUACUGGGCAAAGAGUUUCUCCCAUCUUAUAGAGAUUCCACUUUUUUUCUUUGGUGUAAAUCAGGUUUUUAGUUUAAUGCCAUUUUUAUUUAUUCAUUUUUUGAUUUUGAAAUUAUUUCCAAAACAUUUGUUGUCCUUACAAGAGCUUAAAUGGCUUUCUCUUGUUUAUUUUGUAGUUUUACAGUCAGGUCUUUUACCCCUUUUGAAUUGAUUUUGAACAGGGUGAGGAAUCAGGAUCCUCUUUCUUUAGAACUGAAACUUUAUACUGAGCUUUAAAAUUGGGGUGAGUCUUCCAAUUUUGUUCUUUAUAUUUCUCUUGAAGAAAACCUGUAUUUCAUAUUUGAGGUUGACUGAACUUCUAUGUUCACUUUAGGCUUACCAUUCCAUCUUUUUCAAAAAUGGCAUGUGGGAAUUUUGGUAAGGUUUACAUUGGUAUGUAAAUCAACUUGCAUUUUACCAUUUCAGCAACAUUAAACUUAUCAAUAAAUAAUGGAUGCCUACUUAGUCUUUUAAACAUUUUGUAUAGUAUUUUCUGCU
rnacentral:lncRNA from 1 species